UACAGAGGGUGCGAGCGUUGUCCGGAAUCACUGGGCGUAAAGGGCGCGUAGGCGGCUUGAUAAGCGUGCGGUGAAAGCCCGGGGCUCAACCCCGGGUCGGCCGUGCGAACUGUCGAGCUGGAGCACUGUAGAGGCAGGCGGAAUUCCGGGUGUAGCGGUGGAAUGCGUAGAGAUCCGGAAGAACACCGGUGGCGAAGGCGGCCUGCUGGGCAGUUUUGCUGACACUGAGGCGCGACAGCGUGGGGAGCAAACAGG
rnacentral:rRNA from 1 species